rnacentral:rRNA from 2 species
UUAAGCGACUAAGCGUACACGGUGGAUGCCCUGGCAGUCAGAGGCGAUGAAGGACGUGCUAAUCUGCGAUAAGCGUCGGUAAGGUGAUAUGAACCGUUAUAACCGGCGAUUUCCGAAUGGGGAAACCCAGUGUGUUUCGACACACUAUCAUUACGUGAAUACAUAGCGUAAUGAAGCGAACCGGGGGAACUGAAACAUCUAAGUACCCCGAGGAAAAGAAAUCAACCGAGAUUCCCCCAGUAGCGGCGAGCGAACGGGGAGCAGCCCAGAGUCUGAAUCAGCUUGUGUGUUAGUGGAACGGUCUGGAAAGUCCGACGGUACAGGGUGAUAGUCCCGUACACCAAAAUGCACAGGUUGUGAACUCGAAGAGUAGGGCGGGACACGUGGUAUCCUGUCUGAAUAUGGGGGGACCAUCCUCCAAGGCUAAAUACUCCUGACUGACCGAUAGUGAACCAGUACCGUGAGGGAAAGGCGAAAAGAACCCCGGCGAGGGGAGUGAAAAAGAACCUGAAACCGUGUACGUACAAGCAGUGGGAGCCUCUUUAUGGGGUGACUGCGUACCUUUUGUAUAAUGGGUCAGCGACUUAUAUUCUGUAGCAAGGUUAACCGUAUAGGGGAGCCGAAGGGAAACCGAGUCUUAACUGGGCGUUAAGUUGCAGGGUAUAGACCCGAAACCCGGUGAUCUAGCCAUGGGCAGGUUGAAGGUUGGGUAACACUAACUGGAGGACCGAACCGACUAAUGUUGAAAAAUUAGCGGAUGACUUGUGGCUGGGGGUGAAAGGCCAAUCAAACCGGGAGAUAGCUGGUUCUCCCCGAAAGCUAUUUAGGUAGCGCCUCGUGAACUCAUCUUCGGGGGUAGAGCACUGUUUCGGCUAGGGGGUCAUCCCGACUUACCAACCCGAUGCAAACUGCGAAUACCGAAGAAUGUUAUCACGGGAGACACACGGCGGGUGCUAACGUCCGUCGUGAAGAGGGAAACAACCCAGACCGCCAGCUAAGGUCCCAAAGUCAUGGUUAAGUGGGAAACGAUGUGGGAAGGCACAGACAGCCAGGAUGUUGGCUUAGAAGCAGCCAUCAUUUAAAGAAAGCGUAAUAGCUCACUGGUCGAGUCGGCCUGCGCGGAAGAUGUAACGGGGCUAAACCAUGCACCGAAGCUGCGGCAGCGACACUAUGUGUUGUUGGGUAGGGGAGCGUUCUGUAAGCCGUUGAAGGUGUACUGUGAGGUAUGCUGGAGGUAUCAGAAGUGCGAAUGCUGACAUAAGUAACGAUAAUGCGGGUGAAAAACCCGCACGCCGGAAGACCAAGGGUUCCUGUCCAACGUUAAUCGGGGCAGGGUGAGUCGACCCCUAAGGCGAGGCCGAAAGGCGUAGUCGAUGGGAAACAGGUUAAUAUUCCUGUACUUGGUGUUACUGCGAAGGGGGGACGGAGAAGGCUAUGUUAGCCGGGCGACGGUUGUCCCGGUUUAAGCAUGUAGGCGGAGGUUCCAGGUAAAUCCGGUACCUUUUAACGCUGAGGUGUGAUGACGAGGCACUACGGUGCUGAAGUAACAAAUGCCCUGCUUCCAGGAAAAGCCUCUAAGCAUCAGGUAACACGAAAUCGUACCCCAAACCGACACAGGUGGUCAGGUAGAGAAUACCAAGGCGCUUGAGAGAACUCGGGUGAAGGAACUAGGCAAAAUGGUGCCGUAACUUCGGGAGAAGGCACGCUGAUAUGUAGGUGAAGUGAUUUACUCAUGGAGCUGAAAUCAGUCGAAGAUACCAGCUGGCUGCAACUGUUUAUUAAAAACACAGCACUGUGCAAACACGAAAGUGGACGUAUACGGUGUGACGCCUGCCCGGUGCCGGAAGGUUAAUUGAUGGGGUUAUCCGUAAGGAGAAGCUCUUGAUCGAAGCCCCGGUAAACGGCGGCCGUAACUAUAACGGUCCUAAGGUAGCGAAAUUCCUUGUCGGGUAAGUUCCGACCUGCACGAAUGGCGUAAUGAUGGCCAGGCUGUCUCCACCCGAGACUCAGUGAAAUUGAACUCGCUGUGAAGAUGCAGUGUACCCGCGGCAAGACGGAAAGACCCCGUGAACCUUUACUAUAGCUUGACACUGAACACUGGUCCUUGAUGUGUAGGAUAGGUGGGAGGCUUUGAAGUGUGGACGCCAGUCUGCAUGGAGCCAUCCUUGAAAUACCACCCUUUAAUGGCUGGUGUUCUAACGUGGACCCGUAAUCCGGGUUGCGGACAGUGUCUGGUGGGUAGUUUGACUGGGGCGGUCUCCUCCUAAAGAGUAACGGAGGAGCACGAAGGUUAGCUAAUCCUGGUCGGACAUCAGGAGGUUAGUGCAAAGGCAUAAGCUAGCUUGACUGCGAGAGUGACGGCUCGAGCAGGUGCGAAAGCAGGUCUUAGUGAUCCGGUGGUUCUGAAUGGAAGGGCCAUCGCUCAACGGAUAAAAGGUACUCCGGGGAUAACAGGCUGAUACCGCCCAAGAGUUCAUAUCGACGGCGGUGUUUGGCACCUCGAUGUCGGCUCAUCACAUCCUGGGGCUGAAGUAGGUCCCAAGGGUAUGGCUGUUCGCCAUUUAAAGUGGUACGCGAGCUGGGUUUAGAACGUCGUGAGACAGUUCGGUCCCUAUCUGCCGUGGGCGCUGGAGAAUUGAGGGGGGCUGCUCCUAGUACGAGAGGACCGGAGUGGACGCAUCACUGGUGUUCGGGUUGUCAUGCCAAUGGCAUUGCCCGGUAGCUAAAUGCGGAAGAGAUAAGUGCUGAAAGCAUCUAAGCACGAAACUUGCCCCGAGAUGAGUUCUCCCUGAGACUAUAAGUCUCCUGAAGGAACGUUAAAGACGAUGACGUUGAUAGGUCGGGUGUGUAAGCGUAGCGAUACGUUGAGCUAACCGAUACUAAUGAACCGUGAGGCUUAACCUU